rnacentral:rRNA from 1 species
UACGAAGGGGGCUAGCGUUGCUCGGAAUCACUGGGCGUAAAGCGCACGUAGGCGGAUCUUUAAGUCAGGGGUGAAAUCCUGGAGCUCAACUCCAGAACUGCCCUUGAUACUGGGGAUCUUGAGUCCGGAAGAGGUGAGUGGAACUCCGAGUGUAGAGGUGAAAUUCGUAGAUAUUGGGAAGAACACCAGUGGCGAAGGCGGCUAACUGGUCCAGCACUGACGCUGAGGUGCGGAAAGCGUGGGGAGC